UCCGGUUUGGCACCGGCAGUCCCCCCAGAGUCCUCGGCUUGCCCGGUAGCAACUGGGGGCGAGGGUUGCGCUCGUUGCGGGACUUAACCCAACAUCUCACGACACGAGCUGACGACAGCCAUGCAGCACCUGUGCUCGAGUCCCGAAGGAGGGCCCCGGUUUCUCGGGGCUUUCUCGAGCAUGUCAAGCCCAGGUAAGGUUCUUCGCGUUGCGUCGAAUUAAACCACAUGCUCCACCGCUUGUGCGGGCCCCCGUCAAUUCCUUUGAGUUUCAGCCUUGCGGCCGUACUCCCCAGGCGGGGCACUUAAUGCGUUAGCGCCGGCACCCAGGGGGUCGCUCCCCCAAGCACCUAGUGCCCAUCGUUUACGGCGUGGACUAC
rnacentral:misc_RNA from 1 species